rnacentral:rRNA from 1 species
UGAAGAAUCUUGGGCAAUGGGCUAACGCCUGACCCAGUGAGAACACAUGCAUGAUGAAUGCGCACAGUUUUCUGUAAAGUGCUAUUCGCGGGAUCAAGAAAACGACACAAGCCCGAGAUGAAGCGCCGGCCAACUCCGUGCCAGCAGCCGCGGUAAGACGGAGGGCGCGAGCGUUAUUCGUUUUGAUUGGGUGUAAAGGGUAUGUAGGCGGCCCCUAGUUUUUGGCUAAAAAGCGGAGUGUUCCUAUGCUAUAUGGCCUUUGAAAAAGGGGGCUUGUGUUGAUGAUAGGUCGGGGCAAGUUCUUAUGUAGGGGUAGAAUCCCACCAUAUGAGAACGAACGACAGCUGGCGAAGGCGCCCUUCCCGCUUCAACAGACGCUAAGGUACGGAAGCUUAGGUAGCAAACGGGAUUAGAUACCCUCGUAGUCCCUGAGCGGGCUGGCAAGGCGCAU